CUUUUAUGAUUUUUUUUUUGCCUCACCUCGCUCGGGCGCGUGCUUGCGCCUUGUGCCUAGGCUUUAAGAGCCCUUAAAGCCUAUGCACCUUAGUGUGCUUUAAGCCUUUAGUAAUUAUGUUUAAAAUUCCAUUGUUAAAAAUUCCAAUAAAAUAUGCGUACCACAUUGGAAAAAAAAUUCAAUUUUUAGCCAUUAAGAGUCAUUUUCUAGAAAAAUGGAUGCUAAAAUCGGACUCUAAUCGUCGAAAUUAACUAGGAAAGACACUGUAAAAAAUGACUAGUAGAUGAUGGGGCAUUGUCUAUUGAUGUGUUGAUGAUGUGGCAGGAUGACGUGGAUCCUGAUGUGGCGAAGGUAGGAGUAGAUCAAGUACAAGCAAGCUCACGAAAGUUGUUGUGAGCUUGUCUUCUUACUUGAUGGGUUAUCUAACUCGACCCAUCGAGUUCUUGCUCCAGAGCUGCCGGAAUAAGAUUCUGACAAUGGAUUUAAAUUGUGCCUGCGUUCGUGGUCAUGGUUACGGGUGACAGAAAUAGGCCUGUAAUGACCAUAACGGUAAUGGCCUAUAGCUACGCAAUUUUUUUUUUUUAAAAUUUGCG
rnacentral:misc_RNA from 1 species